rnacentral:rRNA from 1 species
AUGUCUUGGCUGGAGAUGUGGCUGCCGGCCGCGGCCGAGGGGGCGGCGGCGGGGCUGUUCCUCGACGCCGGCGACGCGGCGGCGCACGGCGCGCUCCUCGCGGCCAUGCCCGGCUGCUCGGCCUCCUUCGGCGUGCCGCGGCGGCGGCGUGGGAGGGCGCCGCCGGGGUUCCUCUCGAUGACGAUGUCGGUCAAGGGGGGCAGGGGGUUCGCGCCCGCCCCGGUGGGGCUGCUCACGGGCGGGGACGACAAGGGCGGAGGGGUGGAGGUCGCGGAGGGGCUGGUGGCCGGGAGGGGCGCGGAGGGGGUGGUGCUGGUGGAGGCCGACGGGAAGCUGACGGAGGAGGAGGCUCAUUCUGGAGCCGGCGCCAUGAACACCACCAAGCAUCUCUGGUCUGGAGCCGUCGCCGCCAUGGUCUCCAGAACAGUUGUUGCUCCUCUUGAAAGGCUAAAGUUGGAGUAUAUAGUUCGUGGUGAGCAGAGGAAUCUGUUUGAGCUUAUCCAAGCGAUUGCAACAACGGAAGGACUGAAAGGCUUUUGGAAAGGGAAUUUGGUCAAUAUCCUCCGUACUGCUCCAUUCAAGGCGGUGAACUUCUAUGCAUAUGACAGUUACAGAAAGCAACUUCUCAAAUGGUCUGGUAAUGAAGAAACAACCAAUCUUGAGAGAUUUAUUGCUGGUGCUUCUGCUGGUGUUACAGCAACGAUAAUGUGUAUACCCAUGGAUACAAUUAGGACAAAGAUGGUAGCUCCUGGUGGUGAAGCAUUAGGUGGGGUUAUUGGUGUUGCCCGCCACAUGAUCCAGACUGAAGGGUUGUUCUCACUGUACAAGGGAUUAGUGCCUUCUCUUAUUAGCAUGGCACCCUCUGGCGCUGUAUUCUACGGGGUGUAUGACAUACUGAAGAUGGCUUAUCUGCAUUCCCCCGAAGGAAAGAGGAGGAUAUCAAUGAUGAAACAACAAGGUCAAGAAGCAAAUGCAUUAGAUCAGCUUGAGUUGGGCACUGUUAGGACCUUACUCUAUGGGGCCAUCGCUGGAUGCUGUGCUGAGGCAGCCACAUACCCUUUUGAAGUAGUUAGGAGACAGCUACAGUUGCAAGUCAAAGCAACAAAGAUGAAUGCACUCGCAACAUGCCUAAAAAUUGUUGAUAAAGGAGGAGUACCAGCACUCUACGUUGGCUUGAUCCCCAGCUUGUUACAGGUUCUGCCAUCGGCAUCUAUCAGCUAUUUUGUAUACGAGCUAAUGAAGAUAGUCCUGAAAGUGGAAUGA